GAUGAACGCUGGCGGCGUGCCUAAUACAUGCAAGUCGAGCGAACAGAUUAGGAGCUUGCUCCUCUGACGUUAGCGGCGGACGGGUGAGUAACACGUGGAUAACCGACCUAUAAGACUGGGAUAACUGCGGGAAACCGUAGCUAAUACCGGAUAAUAUAUUGAACCUCAUGGUUCAAUAGUGAAAGACGGUUUUGCUGUCACUUAUAGAUGUAUCCGCUCCGCAUUAGCUAGUUGGUAAGGUAACGGCUUACCAAGGCAACGAUGCGUAGCCGACCUGAGAGGGUGAUCGGCCACACUGGAACUGAGACACGGUCCAGCCUCCUACGGGAGGCAGCAGUAGGGAAUCUUCCGAAAUGGGCGAAAGCCUGACGGAGCAACGCCGCGUGAGUGAUGAAGGUCUUCGGAUCGUAAACCUCUGUUAUUAGGGAAGAACAAAUGUGUAAGUAACUAUGCACGUCUUGACGGUACCUAAUCAGAAAGCCACGGCUAACUACGUG
rnacentral:rRNA from 1 species